rnacentral:rRNA from 1 species
GUGGGGAAUAUUGGACAAUGGGCGAAAGCCUGAUCCAGCCAUGCCGCGUGUGUGAAGAAGGUCUUCGGAUUGUAAAGCACUUUAAGUUGGGAGGAAGGGCAGUAAGUUAAUACCUUGCUGUUUUGACGUUACCAACAGAAUAAGAACCGGCUAACUUCGUGCCAGCAGCCGCGGUAAUACGAAGGGUGCAAGCGUUAAUCGGGAUUACUGGGCGUAAAGCGCGCGUAGGUGGUUCAGCAAGUUGGAGGUGAAAUCCCCGGGCUCAACCUGGGAACUGCCUCCAAAACUGCAUGACUAGAGUACGGUAGAGGGUAGUGGAAUUUCCUGUGUAGCGGUGAAAUGCGUAGAUAUAGGAAGGAACACCAGUGGCGAAGGCGACUACCUGGACUGAUACUGACACUGAGGUGCGAAAGCGUGGGGAGCAAACAGGAUUAGAUACCCCAGUAGUCC